rnacentral:rRNA from 1 species
AAAGUUUUUUCGGCCAGGGAUGUGCUCGCGGCCUAUCAGCUUGUUGGUGAGGUAAUGGCUCACCAAGGCUUUGACGGGUAACCGGCCUGAGAGGGUGACCGGUCACACUGGGACUGAGACACGGCCCAGACUCCUACGGGAGGCAGCAGUGGGGAAUAUUGGACAAUGGGGGGAACCCUGAUCCAGCCAUGCCGCGUGUGUGAAGAAGGCCUUUUGGUUGUAAAGCACUUUAAGCGAGGAGGAGGCUACUUGGAUUAAUACUCUAGGAUAGUGGACGUUACUCGCAGAAUAAGCACCGGCUAACUCUGUGCCAGCAGCCGCGGUAAUACAGAGGGUGCGAGCGUU